AAAGCGGCGAAAGGGUGAGGAAAAUAUCGACAAUGUACCCCGAGGACCGGGACAACGGCUGGAAACGGCCGCUAAUACCGGAUGGUCCCUCGGCAAGGCAUCUUGCCAAGGGUAAAGGUGGGGACCUUCGGGCCUUCCACCUCGGGAGGAGUCGAUGUCCUAUCAGCUAGUUGGCGGGGUAAUGGCCCACCAAGGCAACUACGGGUAGCCGGACUGAGAGGUUGACCGGUCACACUGGGACUGAGACACUGCCCAG
rnacentral:rRNA from 1 species